ACUGCUAUGAACCCUAGCUUUUCUCUUGAUUAUCUAAGAACGAGAAAACAUUUCAUCUUUUAUUUCCUUACAGGCUGACUGCUAGUGUGACUGGUAUCUGAAGCACACAAAAGAAAACAUUUCCAAUCUGUAUCAUAUUUUUCACUGGGAGUGUUCUAAGGCGCUGAUGAACUAGAAAAAGGAAGAUGGAUGUGGCAGAAGGAUUGUUUCUGAGACCAUGACAUGAUGAAGAAUUCAAGUCUCAAAAAAGCACAGGAAAGCCAGAGCUGAAGUCCAUGUAUCAAAUACUCCCAAACAUUCCAGCCAUUCCUCUUAAUGCUCUGUCCUCCCCAAAAGG
rnacentral:lncRNA from 1 species